GAUGAACGCUGGCGGCGUGCCUAAUACAUGCAAGUCGAGCGAACAGACGAGGAGCUUGCUCCUCUGACGUUAGCGGCGGACGGGUGAGUAACACGUGGAUAACCUACCUAUAAGACUGGGAUAACUUCGGGAAACCGGAGCUAAUACCGGAUAAUAUAUUGAACCGCAUGGUUCAAUAGUGAAAGACGGUUUUGCUGUCACUUAUAGAUGGAUCCGCGCCGCAUUAGCUAGUUGGUAAGGUAACGGCUUACCAAGGCAACGAUGCGUAGCCGACCUGAGAGGGGGAUCGCCCACCCUGGAACUGAAACACGGUCCAGACUCCUACGGGAGGCAGCAGUAGGGAAUCUUCCGCAAUGGGCGAAAGCCUGACGGAGCAACGCCGCGGGAGUGAUGAAGGUCUUCGGAUCGUAAAACUCUGUUAUUAGGGAAGAACAAAUGUGUAAGUAACUAUGCACGUCUUGACGGUACCUAAUCAGAAAGCCACGGCUAACUACGUG
rnacentral:rRNA from 1 species